rnacentral:misc_RNA from 1 species
GUGAAUCAUCAAAUCUUUGAACGCAAAUUGCACUCUCUUCGGAGAGUAUGCCUGUUUGAGGGUCAGUAUUAAUAAAAAUCGGUGUGUUGCUUCUUUGUGACGCUCCGGAGUUUGGGUCAUCUUAAUAUCCUUUAGGUUUUAAGAGGCUUAAAAUUGACUUUUUUUGCGCAUUUUAGAUGUACCAUAAUUCUUUUUUUUAUUCCUUCGUUUUUAUGCUCAAAAUCCUUAUAAAUUCGACCAU